AGAGUUUGAUCAUGGCUCAGGAUGAACGCUAGCGGCAGGCCUAAUACAUGCAAGUCGAACGGUAACAUUGGUGCUUGCACCAGAUGACGAGUGGCGCACGGGUGCGUAACGCGUAUGCAACCUACCUUUUACUAGAGUAUAGCCCAGAGAAAUUUGGAUUAAUCCUCUAUAAUAUCUUUUAAUCUCCUGAUUUUAAGAUUAAAGUUUUAAUGGUAAAAGAUGGGCAUGCGUCCUAUUAGUUUGUAGGUGAGGUAACGGCUCACCUAGACUACGAUAGGUAGGGGCCCUGAGAGGGGGAUCCCCCACACUGGUACUGAGACACGGACCAGACUCCUACGGGAGGCAGCAGUAAGGAAUAUUGGACAAUGGACGAAAGUCUGAUCCAGCCAUGCCGCGUGCAGGAUGACAGCCCUACGGGUUGUAAACUGCUUUUACACAGGAAGAAACACUCCGACGUGUCGGAGCUUGACGGUACUGUAAGAAUAAGGAUCGGCUAACUCCGUGCCAGCAGCCGCGGUAAUACGGAGGAUCCAAGCGUUAUCCGGAAUCAUUGGGUUUAAAGGGUCCGCAGGCUGUUUUUUAAGUCAGAGGUGAAAUCCUGCAGCUCAACUGUAGAACUGCCUUUGAUACUGGAAAACUUGAGUUAUUGUGAAGUGGUUAGAAUGUGUGGUGUAGCGGUGAAAUGCAUAGAUAUCACACAGAAUACCGAUUGCGAAGGCAGAUCACUAACAAUAUACUGACGCUCAUGGACGAAAGCGUGGGGAGCGAACAGGAUUAGAUACCCUGGUAGUCCACGCCGUAAACGAUGGAUACUAGCUGUUCGUCUAACAUUGGUUAGAUGAGUGGCUAAGCGAAAGUGAUAAGUAUCCCACCUGGGGAGUACGGUCGCAAGACUGAAACUCAAAGGAAUUGACGGGGGCCCCCACAAACGGUGGAGCAUGUGGUUUUAUUCUAUGAUACGCCAGGGAACCUUACCAGGGGUUAAAUUUAUUUGGGACACGGCCUAAAAAAUAAACCCUUCUUUCGGAACCAUAUAAAAGGGGGUGCAUGGGUUGUCCUCCACCCCCUGCCCCGAAGGGGUACGGUUUAAUUCCUAUAAAAAAGGGGAACACCCUAUCCUUUGUGUUUCCACGCAAGAAAUGUCCUGGAACUCUCACCAGAACUGCCCUGUGCAACCUCUUAAGAAAUUGUGGGUGUAGACGUCCCAACCAUUCCGGCACCUAUAC
rnacentral:rRNA from 1 species